rnacentral:rRNA from 1 species
CCAAGGAGCCUAACAUAUACGCGAGUCGCUCGGUCUUGUUUAGGCCUGAGAGGCGCAAUGAAAGUAACUGCCUACGAGGCUGGGAGCAUUCGUGCAACCAGUCGCAGUAGGGGCCCGCCUCUUUCCUUUAUCGGGGAUAUGGCGGAGUCGGAGCGUAUACGUUGGUACCCGAAAGAUGGUGAACUAUGCCUGGGCAAGACGAAGCCAGAGGAAACUCUGGUGGAGGUCUGUAGCGAUUCUGACGUGCAAAUCGAUCGUCAGACCUGGGUAUAGGGGCGAAAGACUAAUCGAACCAUC